UUUGUCUUUGGCUUAUUCGAGCUGUGUUCUUGCCAUAAUAUGGACCACAGUUGGCGGUGCGUGUCACAGCAGGACCUGUACCAUGAAGUCUGAGGAACUGUCCGUAGAGCUCAGAGAGGAUUUUCAAUGAGGCGUGUAUAUCUGGGGUCGAAGGGUGUAAAUAACGCCAAUUUUUCUGCAGCGUUUGACAGUUAAUCAAUCAAAUGGAAAAGAUAUGGAAGAGCGCCAGACUCUGCCUUGAUUUGGGCCGUCGGACCGAAACUGAGGCAACCGUGUGCCGAGAGGGACGACACAACCAGAGGAACAGGAUUGUAUCAUACCUAGCAUUUUAAAAGUAAAACUAAUAACCCCCCCCCCACACACACACACACACACACACCUCUCAUAAAGCAAGUCACACAGGAUGUUAGCAUGUGUGCUAACGCCUAUACAAGAAGCAAGUCACACAGGAUGUUAGCAUAUUGCUAACACCUAUACAAGAAGUAAGUCACACAGGAUGUUAGCAUAUUGCUAACACCUAUACAAUAAGUAAGUCACACAGGAUGUUAGCAUAUUGCUAACGCCUAUACAAGAAGCAAGUCACACAGGAUGUUAGCAUGUGUGCUAACACCUAUACAAGAAGCAAGUCACACAGGUUGACACAGGACACAGGAUGUUAGCAUGUGUGCUAACGCCUAUACAAGAAGCAAGUCACACAGGAUGUUAAAAUAAAUAAAUAUAUUUAUUGGCUGAUCUUAAUUUUUUUUUUUUUUUAAGUUCUGUUGAACAUAAAUUGUCCUUCUGUAUUAAAGUACGACUUCUGCCUCGGCUCUUGUAUUCUAGAAGAAUCACAAGACGCCCGCGAAACUGGCGGAUUAGACUCCCGUGAAACUGGGGGAGGCGGAUUAGACUCCCGUGAAACUGGGGGAGGCGGAUUAGACGCCCGUGAAACUGGGGGAGGCGGAUUAGACGCCCGUGAAACUGGGGGAGGCGGAUUAGAUGCCCGUGAAACUGGAGGAGAGGGUGCUCUUUUAAAAAACAUAUUUUUACAAAGACCUAAUUUAAUGUCACUAAGACUUUUUGGAUGUUUUAUGAAACUGGUCCUUUUUUUUGUAAAUCAUUCAUUUCUUCUGAAGGUAAAAAAUAAAUAAAAAUGAUUCGGUUGUUUGGGGACUUUUUCAUUUUUAAUGGUCCUUUUCAUGUCUCAUUACCAGAGACUGAGGGCCUGUCUCUGUCUCCUAGGUAACCAGGAGAGACUGAGGGCCUGUCUCUGUCUCCUAGGUAACCGGGAGAGACUGAGGGCCUGUCUCUGUCUCCUAGGUAACCGGGAGAGACUGAGGGCCUGUCUCUGUCUCCUAGGUAACCGGGAGAGACUGAGGGCCUGUCUCUGUCUCCUAGGUAACCGGGAGAGACUGAGGGCCUGUCUCUGUCUCCUAGGUAACCGGGAGAGACUGAGGGCCUGUCUCUGUCUCCUAGGUAACCGGGAGAGACUGAGGGCCUGUCUCUGUCUCCUAGGUAACCGGGAGAGACUGAGGGCCUGUCUCUGUCUCCUAGGUAACCGGGAGAGACUGAGGGCCUGUCUCUGUCUCCUAGGUAACCGGGAGAGACUGAGGGCCUGUCUCUGUCUCCUAGGUAACCGGGAGAGACUGAGGGCCUGUCUCUGUCUCCUAGGUAACCGGGAGAGACUGAGGGCCUGUCUCUGUCUCCUAGGUAACCGGGAGAGACUGAGGGCCUGUCUCUGUCUCCUAGGUAACCGGGAGAGACUGAGGGCCUGUCUCUGUCUCCUAGGUAACCGGGAGAGACUGAGGGCCUGUCUCUGUCUCCUAGGUAACCGGGAGAGACUGAGGGCCUGUCUCUGUCUCCUAGGUAACCGGGAGAGACUGAGGGCCUGUCUCUGUCUCCUAGGUAACCGGGAGAGACUGAGGGCCUGUCUCUGUCUCCUAGGUAACCGGGAGAGACUUGAGGGCCUGUCUCUGUCUCCUAGGUAACCGGGAGAGACUUGAGGGCCUGUCUCUGUCUCCUAGGUAACCGGGAGAGACUUGAGGGCCUGUCUCUGUCUCCUAGGUAACCGGGAGAGACUGAGGGCCUGUCUCUGUCUCCUAGGUAACCGGGAGAGACUGAGGGCCUGUCUCUGUCUCCUAGGUAACCGGGAGAGACUUGAGGGCCUGUCUCUGUCUCCUAGGUAACCGGGAGAGACUUGAGGGCCUGUCUCUGUCUCCUAGGUAACCGGGAGAGACUUGAGGGCCUGUCUCUGUCUCCUAGGUAACCGGGAGAGACUUGAGGGCCUGUCUCUGUCUCCUAGGUAACCGGGAGAGACUUGAGGGCCUGUCUCUGUCUCCUAGGUAACCGGGAGAGACUGAGGGCCUGUCUCUGUCUCCUAGGUAACCGGGAGAGACUGAGGGCCUGUCUCUGUCUCCUAGGUAACCGGGAGAGACUGAGGGCCUGUCUCUGUCUCCUAGGUAACCGGGAGAGACUGAGGGCCUGUCUCUGUCUCCUAGGUAACCGGGAGAGACUGAGGGCCUGUCUCUGCUGAUGUGUGUUUAUUAUGGCAAUGUCUGUUCCAGCGUUUUAUAACUGACUAUUUAAUACCAUCAACACGGUUUUGACAGUAGAUAUCUAGCUCGUGUGUGUGUGUGUGUGUGUGUGUGUGUGUGUGUGUGUGUGUGUGUGUGUGUGUGUGUG